UCGAGAAUCUUUCGCAAUGCCCGAAAGGGUGACGAAGCGACGCCGCGUGCGGGAGGAAGGCCUUCGGGUUGUAAACCGCUGUCGGGAGUUAAGAAAUGCAAGGAUGUUAAUAGCGUUCUUGCUUGACUAAGGCUCCGGAGGAAGCCACGGCUAACUCUGUGCCAGCAGCCGCGGUAAUACAGAGGCGGCAAGCGUUGUUCGGAAUUAUUGGGCGUAAAGAGCACGUAGGCGGCUGUGUAAGUCGGUUGUGAAAGCCUUCCGCUCAACGGAAGAACGGCAUCCGAUACUGCAUGGCUUGAGUGUGGGAGGGGAGAGUGGAACUUCUGGUGGAGCGGUGAAAUGCGUAGAUAUCAGAAGGAACACCGGCGGCGAAGGCGACUCUCUGGUCCAUAACUGACGCUGAGUGUGCGAAAGCUAGGGGAGCAAACGGGGAUUAGAUACCCUCGUAGUCCCUGAG
rnacentral:rRNA from 1 species